rnacentral:rRNA from 1 species
CCCUUAGAUGUUCUGGGCCGCACGCGUGCUACACUGAGUGGAUCAGCGGGUCAGGUUGCGCGAAAGCGUUUCCUAAUCUUUAAAUCCGCUCGUGAUGGGGAUUGACGGUUGCAAUUUUCUGUCAUGAACGAGGAAUACCUUGUAAGCGCGGGUCAUCAUCCCGCGCUGAAUACGUCCCUGCCCUUUGUACACACCGCCCGUCGCUCCUACCGAUGGAGUGGUCCGGUGAGGCUUUGGGAUCUGAGCGGAAAGAGCGUUUCGCUGUUUCUGCUCGGAAAACUCAGUCGAACCUUAUCAUUUAGAGGAAGGAGAAGUCGUAACA